UACAGAGGUCUCAAGCGUUGUCCGGAAUCAUUGGGCGUAAAGAGCGCGUAGGCGGCCCAGUCAGUCCGCUGUGAAAGUCAAGGGCUCAACCCUUGGAUGCCGGUGGAUACUGCUGGGCUAGAGUCCGGAAGAGGCGAGUGGAAUUCCUGGUGUAGCGGUGAAAUGCGCAGAUAUCAGGAAGAACACCCGUGGCUAAGGCGGCUCUCUAGUACGGUACUGACGCUGAGACGCGAAAGCGUGGGGAGCGAACAGG
rnacentral:rRNA from 1 species